AUGGACUGUUGCUUGACCGAUCUGGGUUACUCUGGGCCGAAGUUUACAUGGAGCAAUAAACAAGAUCCUAAGUGUCAUGUAAAGUGUUGCCUGGACAGAUCUGUGGUGAAUGGGGCCUUUUCAAACCUGUUUGAUAGAUGUGGGGUGGAGAAUCUUAUCGCAACUUCUUCGGAUCAUUACCCCGUGCUGAUCCAGCUUGGUGGCAGGACCCAACAGCCUCGUCCGCCUCCGAUCCAGCAGGGUUUCCGCUUUGAAGAAAUGUGGCUUCGGGCUGAGGACUACAGAGAAACUCUUGAGCGAGUGUGGGAUGAGGGGAGGGAUGGAUGUCCGUCUCUCCGGUCAACUUGCGCCAAUCUCAAACAUGUGGCUCACUCUCUGCGCUCUUGGAGCAAGGAGACCUUCGGUUUUAUUCGGAAGCGGAUUGGUCGUCUGGAGCGCCGUAUUGCUGAAGGAAAUGCUUCACCGUCCUCUCCUUCGCUGAUGGAAGAGGAACGCUCGAUUGAGCGCCAACUCUGUGAGCUUUUUGAGAGGGAAGAGAUUAUGGAGCGGCAGCGUUCCCGCAUUGAUUGGUUGAAGGCGGGGGACCGCAACACAGACUUCUUCCAUGCUAAAGCUUCGGCGCGUAGACAUACAAAUCGGAUCCACUCUCUUGUGCGCGAAGAUGGUACUAGCUGCGACUCUCAGGCCGGAAUCAAAGGUAUGGUUCAGGGGUACUACAACAAGUUAUUUUCCUCCGAACCAUGCAGCUCAGCCGAUCGUGUUUCUGAUGCAAUUCCACACAAGGUC
rnacentral:rRNA from 1 species